GUUCGGAACAACUCAGGGAAAACUUGAGCUAAUACCGGAUGAUCCCUUAUGGGGAAAGAUUUAUCGCCGAAGGAGCGGCCCGGGUUAGAUUAACUGGUUGGUGAGGUAAAGGAUCACCAAGGCUACGAUCUAUAGCUGGUCUGAGAGGAUGAUCAGCCACUCUGGGACUGAGACACGGCCCAGACUCCUACGGGAGGCAGCAGUGGGACAAUCUUGCGCAAUGGGCGAAAGCCUGACUCAGCCAUGCCGCGUGAAUGAUGAACGUCUUAGGAUUGUAAAAUUCUUUUACCAUGGACGAUAAUGACGGUUCCUGG
rnacentral:rRNA from 1 species